rnacentral:rRNA from 1 species
CCUACGGGAGGCUGCAGUGGGGAAUAUUGCACAAUGGGCGCAAGCCUGAUGCAGCCAUGCCGCGUGUGUGAAGAAGGCCUUCGGGUUGUAAAGCACUUUCAGCGGGGAGGAAGGCGGUGAGGUUAAUAACCUCAUCGAUUGACGUUACCCGCAGAAGAAGCACCGGCUAACUCCGUGCCAGCAGCCGCGGUAAUACGGAGGGUGCAAGCGUUAAUCGGAAUUACUGGGCGUAAAGCGCACGCAGGCGGUCUGUCAAGUCGGAUGUGAAAUCCCCGGGCUCAACCUGGGAACUGCAUUCGAAACUGGCAGGCUAGAGUCUUGUAGAGGGGGGUAGAAUUCCAGGUGUAGCGGUGAAAUGCGUAGAGAUCUGGAGGAAUACCGGUGGCGAAGGCGGCCCCCUGGACAAAGACUGACGCUCAGGUGCGAAAGCGUGGGGAGGAAACAGGAUUAGAUACCCGAGUAGUC